CUUAACACAUGCAAGUCGAGGGGCAUCAGGAAGAAAGCUUGCUUUCUUUGCUGGCGACCGGCGCACGGGUGAGUAACACGUAUCCAACCUGCCCUUUACUCGGGGAUAGCCUUUCGAAAGAAAGAUUAAUACCCGAUGGCAUAAUGAUUCCGCAUGGUUUCAUUAUUAAAGGAUUCCGGUAAGGGAUGGGGAUGCGUUCCAUUAGGUUGUUGGUGAGGUAGCGGCUCACCAAGCCUUCGAUGGAUAGGGGUUCUGAGAGGAAGGUCCCCCACAUUGGAACUGAGACACGGUCCAAACUCCUACGGGAGGCAGCAGUGAGGAAUAUUGGUCAAUGGGCGCUAGCCUGAACCAGCCAAGUAGCGUGAAGGAUGAAGGCUCUAUGGGUCGUAAACUUCUUUUAUAUAAGAAUAAAGUGCAGUAUGUAUACUGUUUUGUAUGUAUUAUAUGAAUAAGGAUCGGCUAACUCCGUGCCAGCAGCCGCGGUAAUACGGAGGAUCCGAGCGUUAUCCGGAUUUAUUGGGUUUAAAGGGAGCGUAGGUGGACUGGUAAGUCAGUUGUGAAAGUUUGCGGCUCAACCGUAAAAUUGCAGUUGAUACUGUCAGUCUUGAGUACAGUAGAGGUGGGCGGAAUUCGUGGUGUAGCGGUGAAAUGCUUAGAUAUCACGAAGAACUCCGAUUGCGAAGGCAGCUCACUGGACUGCAACUGACACUGAUGCUCGAAAGUGUGGGUAUCAAACAGGAUUAGAUACCCUGGUAGUCCACACAGUAAACGAUGAAUACUCGCUGUUUGCGAUAUACAGUAAGCGGCCAAGCGAAAGCAUUAAGUAUUCCACCUGGGGAGUACGCCGGCAACGGUGAAACUCAAAGGAAUUGACGGGGGCCCGCACAAGCGGAGGAACAUGUGGUUUAAUUCGAUGAUACGCGAGGAACCUUACCCGGGCUUAAAUUGCAGUGGAAUGAUGUGGAAACAUGUCAGUGAGCAAUCACCGCUGUGAAGGUGCUGCAUGGUUGUCGUCAGCUCGUGCCGUGAGGUGUCGGCUUAAGUGCCAUAACGAGCGCAACCCUUAUCUUUAGUUACUAACAGGUUAUGCUGAGGACUCUAGAGAGACUGCCGUCGUAAGAUGUGAGGAAGGUGGGGAUGACGUCAAAUCAGCACGGCCCUUACGUCCGGGGCUACACACGUGUUACAAUGGGGGGUACAGAAGGCAGCUAGCGGGUGACCGUAUGCUAAUCCCAAAAGCCUCUCUCAGUUCGGAUCGAAGUCUGCAACCCGACUUCGUGAAGCUGGAUUCGCUAGUAAUCGCGCAUCAGCCACGGCGCGGUGAAUACGUUCCCGGGCCUUGUACACACCGCCCGUCAAGCCAUGGGAGCCGGGGGUACCUGAAGUACGUAACCGCAAGGAUCGUCCUAGGGUAAAACUGGUGACUGGGGCUAAGUCAU
rnacentral:rRNA from 1 species